rnacentral:rRNA from 1 species
UACGGAGGGGGCUAGCGUUGUUCGGAAUUACUGGGCGUAAAGCGCGCGUAGGCGGACCUGCAAGUCGGGGGUGAAAGCCCGAGGCUCAACCUCGGAACUGCCUUCGAUACUGCGGGUCUCGAGUCCGGGAGAGGUGAGUGGAAUUCCUAGUGUAGAGGUGAAAUUCGUAGAUAUUAGGAAGAACACCAGUGGCGAAGGCGGCUCACUGGUCCGGUACUGACGCUGAGGUGCGAAAGCGUGGGGAGCAAGCAGG